rnacentral:lncRNA from 1 species
NCCGUUGCCACCCAUUUGUUUUCGAUGAUGGGACCUCCAAAUCGACGAUCGGCACCAUUGAACAUGAUCUAUACCACUUAAAGCAUUUAGAAAUCAAAUUUUAAAUCUUUUCAACAUCAUUUGCCUAAUGAUCAAAAGGUUUCAAAUUUAUAAUUUUAAUGGUUGGUAUGACGCGUUUUCUCGUUUAACGGCGUAAAGAUAUUCAAAUCAAUUGAAUUUUUGUUAGAAAAUUCUUUAAGCUAUUUAAAACAAGAUCUAUACUCUUAAUCUUGAUUAUAAGACUCCUAUCAUUAUUUUUUAAAGAAUAUUCAUUUUCAGCCGUUUAUUUUUGUGUCCAUUCGAUGAAUAAGAGAAUAAUAUUGAAAAUGUAUAAAAUUUAAUUUCUAAACAUUUCAAAUGGUAAAGAUCAUAUUCAACGGUGUCGAUCGUCGAUUUGGAGGCUCCAUCAUCGAAAACAAAUGGGUGGCAACGGAGCUCGUUUGCUAUUGAUAGUAUUCUAGCUCAACUCUAUAUAUAUAGAGAGAGAGAGAGCAGGGUUACUGUGCUCCUAGCACAGUAAUUCUUAUACUUCUAACUUUCUGACCAUCCAUCAAAGGAAGUGUUCAGGUAAAAUUAGAUAGGCACCCAAAUGAUAUUCAAAAUUUAAAAUUUAAUUAUUAUUUUAUAUUUUAAUUAAAUUUAAUAUUUAAAAAAUAACACAACAGGAAUAAUAUAAUUUUUUAUAUUAAAAGAAAAAAAAAUGCACUAAGUAUAGAUCAAUUUGAAAUAGGGUCAAACGGUGUUAAUUUUUAAUUUUUUAUUUAAAUCAUUACUUUAGUUAAAUUUUAAAAAUGCAUGAGAUUCAAUAGCAUUCCUUUUUUUUGGGUCAAUUUUUAGCCCCCGUUUAGUUUGGGGUUAAGAAAAAGUAGCUAUUUCAGGGAUAGGAUUAAGUUCAGGGUUAAAAUGGUGUUAAAAUUUUUUUGUGUUUGGUUGGAGGUUGGAGUUAGUAUAGGAUAAUGAAAAAAAGUGUUUGGUUGGAGUAGGUGGGAUAAAAAGAUAAUGAUUGAUAAAGAAGAAAAAGGUGAGAGCUCGGGAUGCGUGCGGGGUUAAAGUUGGGAGGGGAAGUGGGGUUAAUGAUUGAUAAAGAAGAAAAAGAUGAGGGCUCGGAAUACGUGCGGGGUUAAAGUUGGGAGAGGGAGUGGGGUUAGUAAACCCCACUAACCCGGUUUGGGGUGGGGUUUACUAACCCUACCCGAAAAGAGUGGUGUUUGGGUAUAAAUUGGGGAUUAAGGGGUUAUUCCACC